AAUGACGUCUAUCAAAAAGUGUAAGAAAUGACAUGCACGAAAUGCGCGUGAAAGGAGCAUUUCCUCCUCGGAAAUAUAAACGUUAAAAUUUGUCCGCCUGUCCAGCGUGGUUUCGCACGAAAUGCGUCCAUAAAUCAGCCCGAUUUCGCAAGACCGCAAUUCAAUUUUCAAGAUUUGUAGUCGGAAAGAUGGAGGUCUUUCAGGACAAUUUUAUCGCUAAUCUCAGUAACACCUCUCGGCCGAUGUACAACGAAAUGGAGGAAAUAGACGAGUUCGAUUUCGAUCGUCAACAAGUGGAGCAGAUCGUGGAGAUCGUGGUGCCAAUAUGUUUCGGCAUGAUCGGCAUCGUCGGACUCAUCGGCAACUUUCUGGUGGUGAUCGUGGUGGCCGCCAAUCCUGGCAUGAGAUCGACUACGAACAUUUUAAUCAUCAAUCUGGCGGUGGCCGACCUGUUGUUCGUCAUUUUUUGUAUUCCGUUCACUACCACCGACUUUGUGUUGCCUUAUUGGCCGUUUGGGAACGUGUGGUGCAAGAUUGUGCAGUACCUCAUCAUCGUCACUGCGUUCGCCAGCGUUUAUACGCUGGUUCUGAUGAGCCUUGAUAGGUAUUUGGCAGUGGUUCAUCCAAUAAGUUCGAUGUCAUGGCGGACAGAAAAUCACGCGAUCCUCGCGAUCUGCAUCGCAUGGGCGGUGAUUUUUACAAUAUCCACACCCGCCCUAGUUAUCCACGGCGAGUUUCAGGACGUGAACGAUUCGUCAUCGGAGAACCUGACGGCAUGUCGAGUCUUGUCACAAUAUGAUUGGCCGUACUUCCAAAUUUCGUUUUUCCUGCUGAGUUAUCUGCUGCCGCUGAUGCUGAUAUGCUUCUUUUACAUUUGCAUGCUCGUCAGGCUAUGGCGCGGCGGACGUGUCAGCGCCGAGAGUCGACGCGGAAGAAAACGAGUUACGAGGCUGGUGCUCGUCGUCGUCGGCGUUUUCGCCUUUUGUUGGUGUCCUAUACAGAUAAUCCUGGUAGUAAAGUCUCUGGAGGUGUAUCCAUUGACAACAGCGACGAUAGUGAUACAAAUAGCGAGUCACAUUUUGUCAUACAUGAACAGCUGUGUCAAUCCUAUUCUCUACGCUUUCCUCAGCGACAGUUUUCGGAAAGCAUUUCGGAAAAUAAUUUACUGCAGACCUCGGCCUGAUCAGAACAAGCAGUUGGGACCACUGACGAAAACUACGAGAGCUGCCAGUACCGGUGACGUUCUUUAGACAUUCAGGCUUCCACGAUCCGGCGGAUGAAACAAAGCUUCGGUGCUUUGUCGACCCUCAAUGGCCACCUUGAUGUUGGCAGUCUACGCGAGAUUCUUGUCUUGGGAAUACGGAGCUAUGCGACCGAGGAAAUCAGUGGAAUCGCUUUCUCGCCGGAUGUCAAUUGCGACAGUUUGCAGCUUUUGUCCUUGAUUGGGGGUGAGGGACGGGCAAUUAGGUCGUUGAGAAAUAUCUGGAUUUGUAGCUCUUUGGAAGGUAGUCUUUGAAUUUUGUCGAGGUCCUCUUCCGGCGAAUUCGUCCAGUAAUCAGCUGUUCUUUCUAAACCUUCAGGAUACCCUCGAUAUUAACGCGAUGGAAUGAUUGUUGUGUGAUUUCGUACGUGCAUUUGUGUCUAAUCGUAAUUCUCGGUGAUUUGGCUAAUUUUUCGAAAAAAUUCGUGUUUGAUAUUUUAUACAGUCGAACGCGUACACCAGAUGUACAUACAAUCGUGUGAAUAUUAAGAGACUAGUUAGUAACAAAGGUUUAAACGAUUAAUAUAGAGUUAAGGCUUGUUCGACUGUAAAGAGAGUCUCUGAAUUUUUGGUCCUUAGAAAUUUCGUGAGGGAUGGCAGAUGAGCCCCUGCCACUUUCACGAAACUAGGAGUAGGAUGCAUAUUUCGAAAGUAAUUUCAUUCACGACGCGACAGUUUGUUUGCCAGCGAAACGCCGUAGGUUAAGGUCCUAAGUUUUAAGGAAACUCGGAGACUUCGUGGAGAAAUGUCCUCAUACAAGUUGUAAAGUACGUAUAUCAAUAAAGACGCUGAUGUGAUGUAAUAAAUUAUCAA
rnacentral:misc_RNA from 1 species